GACGAACGCUGGCGGCGUGCUUAACACAUGCAAGUCGAACGGAAAGGCCCCAGCUUGCUGGGGUACUCGAGUGGCGAACGGGUGAGUAACACGUGGGUGAUCUGCCCUGCACUCUGGGAUAAGCCUGGGAAACUGGGUCUACUCCCGGAUAGCACCGUGCUUUAGUGUGUGCGGUGGAAAGUUUUUGGGGUCAGGAUGGGCCCGCGGCCUAUCUGCGUGUUGGUGGGGUAAUGGCCUACCAAGGCGGCGACGGGUAGCCGGCCUGGGAGGGUGUACGGCCACAUGGGGACUAAGACACGGACCAGACUCCAACGGGGGGCAGCAGGGGGGAGUAUGACACAAUGGGCGCAAGCCUGAUGCAGCGACCCCGCGGGGGGAAUGACGUCCUUCGGGGUGUAAACCCCUUUCGGCAGGGACGAAGCUUUUGUGACGGUACCGGCAGAAGAAGCACCGGCUAACUACGU
rnacentral:rRNA from 1 species